GGCUGAAAUUCGCCUUCAUGAAGCCGGAAUUGCUAGUAAUGGCAGGUCAGCAUACUGCCGUGAAUACGUUCCCGGGCCUUGUACACACCGCCCGUCACACCAUGAGAGUUGGAGAUACCCGAAGCCUGUGAGCUAACAAACGAGGCAGCAGUCGAAGGUAGAAUCAAUGAUUGGGGUGAAGUCGUAACAAGGUAAC
rnacentral:rRNA from 1 species